AUCACAAGGUCACCAACACAAAAGACACUACUUUGUAACCAAAAGCAAAAUCAGUUUCGCACUCGCUCGGUUAAGAAAAACACAAAACAACUCCUUACCUAGGACCAAAAGCAAGCCAGAGGAAAGCUGCUUCAAGAAAACAACCAUGUUGCCCUUGAACCUUCCAGCCAGAGUGAUCAACACAGUUCCUGGGGUAAUGCUUGCCCUGCAUAGGCUUCAACGUCAGCAAAUCCCUGCUGUUCCACACUAAUACUUCCACUAACUUCUAAUCUCUUGUAAUUUACCAAAUCGAAAACCAAUUGAGAUAUAAUCUCAGACAAACUAUCAAUUAAGGGCAUUCAUGCACACUUUCUAAACAAUUCACAACAUUUCUCCACAAAUCAAACACAUAUAUUACUAAACAAACAGAGAUAUGAAUUCAUCAAUUCAUCAAUUGAACUGAAGAACAAACGAACAGAAGAGGAGGCUCACAGAGAUGAAUUCAUCAAUUCACAGAGUAAGAAAAUCGGAGAGUUUAAGAGACUAACCUGCCAAACACAACGGAGGACGACGUUCUGGGCUGUCGGUUUGGGUGGAGGAACUGGUGAGGGUGAGGGCGAGAGAGAGAGAGAGAGAGAGAGAGAGAGAGAGAGAGA
rnacentral:lncRNA from 1 species